GGUUGGUGGCCACUGGUGUACCGGUUGUUCGAGAGAGCACGUGCCGGGUAGCCACGCCACACGGGGUAAGAGCUGAACGCAUCUAAGCUCGAAACCCACUUGGAAAAGAGACACCGCAGAGGUCCCCUGUACAAGACAGGGUCGAUAGACUCGGGGUGUGCGCGUCGAGGUAACGAGACGUUAAGCCCACGAGCACUAACAGACCAAAGCCAUCAUUCA
rnacentral:rRNA from 1 species